CGGGGAGCUCAAACUUCUUGUAGUGCAAGUCCAAGUACGUGCACACGCGCUGGUACACUUUGUUGAACGGUAUCUUACUGACGGGGUCCUGCAGGGGAGCAAACGAGACAUGCAGACGACCCACAAUACCUUGGUGGUGCAGUGACCGCUGCAGAUGGUUGCCUCCACCAGGUGACACCUGGGACAGCCCUCCUUCUCCAGAGACACCGUCUGGUUGACCGGCUGGCAGGACGGCAGCUGGAAGGCCUCUGGGGGAUGGGAGAUGUGGCAGUGUGGUACAGAGCCACGGGCCAAAUGGUAGAUGUGGCUCCCAGAAACAGACUCCAUAUCAAGGGGGACGUCACUCUUCUGACCUGGACAGCCAUCUGCAGGAGGCAAAGUGGAUAGUCAACUAAUAACUCACUGACAUGGAUAACUUCGGCCUCCGUGGCUUCUUUUUGAAGGGGGAUUCGUCAUCAGUGCUACGUUGACCUCUCAUACCAUUUCCUCUGAAGCUUUUUUUUUUUUUUUCCCUCUUUGUUUAAUUAGUGAUAUAAAUAGUGUCUUUAUGAGACAUUGAGAGCUGCUUUGGCUCAGUAUCACAAGAUUCACACAGAAAUGUAUUCUGUAGUACACGCGCCUGUUAGAGCCGGCUGAUAAUGACACACAGUUAAAUAGUUUAAGAUGGGAAAGUGUGUCCCAUGUGGUCUAUAACUUAGGGUACCUGGUUUUCACCUGGGGUGCCUUAAGACUUCAGUUCGUUUCCUAAAUGGAAAAGGCUCCUUGGAUAAACGAACAUCUAGUGAUGUGUUGACUGCUAAAUGCUAUUAUUGCAUGUUAUAAGAGCCGGGUGUGGAAAUACUUAUGUGUGGUCAAGACUUCCAUCUUGACCUCAGAGCAGGAUGAGGGCUGACAGGAAGUAGCCUGCUGCCGCCGGUAAAAUAAUCCUGUUUUAUAAGUGUGGGAUCACUGUGACACGUUGACUUCCCCCUGACAUGAAUCAUUUAUGACGUUGAUCCAUGUUGUUUACGGAAUGAUGGUUUAACAUGUGCAGCAACUGUAUUGUGUGUAGAAUAUAAAAUAAUUUGUCAAAUUGUACCGUUUUAUUUUUUCAUGCUGGGUGAAGUAUAAAACAAUAAUGAAUAUGAAAUAGGCACACGUAUGUUGCAGGAUUUGAAGUUGCUCGUUUGGAGAGAAAAAAAAAACAUACAUGCAGUUUUAUUAGCAAAGAAUAUGCACAUUUGAUGUAAAUAUAUUAUAGUAAGGCCUUUCUUCUUUUUUUAUUUUGGUGAAAAAUGUUAUUGCAUUAUGUGAUUGCAAAUAACAAACAAAAAAGGGGGAACAUUGGGACAUUACACAGUACACACAAGCAUUAUAUUGCA